AUUGAACGCUGGCGGCAGGCCUAACACAUGCAAGUCGAGCGGAGCGGCGGACGGGAGAGUAAUGCCUAGGAAUCUGCAUGGUAGUGGGGGAUAACGUCCGGAAACGGGCGCUAAUACCGCAUACUCUGAGAUGAGCCUAGGUCGGAUUAGCUAGUUGGUGGGGUAAAGGCCUACAAGGGCGACGAUCCGUAACUGGUCUGAGAGGAUGAUCAGUCACUCGGGAACUGGGACACGGUCCAGACUCCUAGGGGAGGCAGCAGUGGGGAAUAUUGGACAAUGGGCGAAAGCCUGAUCCAGCCAUGCGGCGUGGUUGAAGAAGGUCUUCGGUUUGUAAAGCACUUUAAGUUGGGAGGCGUUACCAACAGAAUAAGCACCGGCUAACUUCGUGCCAGCCGCCGCGGUAAUAC
rnacentral:rRNA from 1 species